rnacentral:rRNA from 1 species
GAGUAAAUUUUAUUAAUAAAUUAAAACUUUCAACAACGGAUCUCUUGGUUCUGGCAUCGAUGAAGAACGCAGCGAAAUGCGAUAAGUAAUGUGAAUUGCAGAAUUCAGUGAAUCAUCGAAUUUUUGAACGUACAUUGCGCCCCCUGGUAUUUCGGGGGG